rnacentral:lncRNA from 1 species
CAAUCCUUGUCUCCUGCCCAUAUGAGCCUACGCCACAUAUCUCCCAGCCAACUGAAGAGCAACCUGUCAAUCCCAUUUCAGCAACCUGCUUCCUCACCUAUAUUGCCUGAUGACACGAGCACAGUGCCAGCCUUGCCCUACAUCUUCUGACCAUCCCCCGUCCCCUUCACAACCCCAAGCCUCCAUCUUAUCCAUCAGCCCUUUAUAAGUAUAAGCCUCUCCCUCUCGUACUCAUCCCAUGACAAGAAGAGCCCAGAAUCAUAUCUACAAACCUAAACAGUGAAAUUUAGCUUCUAAACACUCACUGCCCGACACUAUAGAUAGAGCCUACAUGUGUUAGCCAAGCUCUUAAAGAUCCUAGUGCCGCCAUGUCUGCUGAAUUUGAUGCAUUAAUUCGUAAUGGCACCUGGGAACUAGUACCAUCAUCUCCUCAUCAAAAGAUUGUUGGGUCUAAGUGGGUCUUUCGGGUUAAGCGGAAACGGCAGUGUUGAGCGGUACAGGGCUCGCCUCGUUGCCAAUUCAUCAGCGGCCUGGGAUUGAUUAUUUUGAUAGAUUCAGCCCUGCGGUUAAGCCUAUCACUAUUCGUGUUUGAGUAUUGCUCUAUAUCAUGGCUGGACUCUUCGUCAAUUGGAUGUCAACAACGCUUUUCUACAGGGUCACUUAACCGAAAAGAGGUAUUCAUGUCUCAACCUCCCGGUCGAUACUCUAAUUUUUCUUCUCAUGUGUGGCAGGCUUCGAAAAGCAAUCUAUGGUCUUAAACAGGCUCCUCGCGCCUGGUAUCAUGAGUGAAAUUUCUGAUAGCUGCUUACCAAUGCCCAGUCCGACACCUCUUUGUUUUGUUCAUUUAUCAUCAGAAUGGAAUUCAAGCCUAUUUCCUGGUUUAUGUGGAUGAUCUUUUGAUCACUGGCAGUAGUCCAAUCCAACUUUUAUCAAUCAGUUCAGUCAGUUGUUGUCCAAGAAGUUCUCACUAAAGGAUCUUCGAGAUUUACAUUAUUUUCUCGGUCUUGAAGUGAUUCCUACAGCAGGUGGUCUAUUUCUUACUCAACAUAAAUACAUUCGUGAUAUUUUUGAAUCUACUGGUAUGGCUGGAGCCAAGGAAGUUUAUACGCCCAACUCUGUCUUGAAUUUGACCCUCGGCUGAUGCUACUUUAUUUCGGCGGGUCAUUGGGCAGUUACAAUAUUUGGCUUUCACAAAAACCUUUGCUGUUCAUAUCCCAGUUCAUGCAUCGUCCCUCGCAACAACAUUGGCAACUUGUCAAGCGUCUCAUUUGAAGGGUUAUCCUGGUCUUUAUUUGAGGCCUUUAACUCUCACUGCUUUUUCGGACGGGCUGGAAAUUUGGAGGAUAGGUCCUCCACUACUGCAUACAUUCUUUAUUUGGGUGGCAAUGCUAUUUCAUGGAGCUCUCGUAAACAAAGAUCAAUUGCUCGCUCCUCCACAGAGGCUGAAUAUCGCGCUCUCGCUACAGCUGCUUCAGAGGUUUGUUGGGUACUUUCUCUACUCACUGAGCUCGGUUAUCCAGCCCACAAGCCACCAACAAUUUUCUGUGACAAUGUGGGCUUUUCCUGCCCUGCCAAUCUGCUUGAACACUGAAGCUUGAAAGCAAGUACGAGCUGGCUGCCAAUCCACUAGAACACUUCCUUCAGAAAGAUUGGGAGGAAUUCAUCUAUGGAUUGGGCUUGAUUGGGAUGAAUUCUGAUUAGGGAAGCCGGUACGCACUGGGGACAGCUAAGAACGUGUAGUGACUGUACCACUCUUUUUGACUCACAUCGGGCACUCCACCGUCAUGAUUUAAGGAAGCAGGCUAGCUAGUGCUAUAGAUAUAGAUUGAGUCCGGCAAGCUUUUAAGUAAAUACAAGGUGCUCCACUUCGAGAAUAUUUAGUAACUAAUUGGUGAAGAAGGAAGGCUAGCUUAAAAGAAGUCAUUCAUUGGCGAGGAAGACUGAUCUCUUUUACACAAGGUCGAGAAGUCCUGACCUUCACUGGUAGUUCAGCAAGCAACCAAACCAAGGCAACGAAGCCGUAUGAGUUCCAGCCAAUCCAUCCGCUUUCAAGCAGUCGUAUCAGUCUUUCAAGUGGGGAAGAUCAAUUCCUUUUCAUCCCCAGCGAGCUCCGUUCUGAGAGCAGGUUUCAACUCUCAGCAUGACUCUUUGUCCCAGGCGGCGAAGAAGCAAGGAAGUCGAAUCAAGGGAGUUUACUUGCUUACUUGUUAAAGUUAAAGUAAGGCAGAGGCUGUUCCGCUGUCUUGUUAAAGUAAGGUAGUGUAAACUCUCGAAAUUCUCUGCUCAAAUAAGCUUUCCUAAAAUGAUGAAAGGCAAGAAGCUCCGUCUCCGUCCCUUCUCUUCUGUCCAAGACUCUUGAAUCAGUCUCGUCUUACAUUCCCUCCUCUCCGCCUAGGCGAAAGAGAGUCCCGCCUAUGGUCUACUCAAAGAGAAAGAUUGUGGGGCAGAUCAAUCCAUUCCGUUGUUCAGGGAAGAUCCAUGGAAUAGGAAAGCCAAAACGGAUCUAUCAAAACAGAUCUAUUCUAAGUCAUUCCCAAUACGGAUCUAUUCUAAGUCAAUACUGGGUCGAUACGAGACUCUUUCUUAGUUAAGUGGGGCUUGAAAGCUGUCUACUACGAAUCCUGCAGGUUCAGUAACAAGUUCUCAUCCAAGUCAACGGUACAGUCAUCACCACUCCAUUUCGAAUAUAACGAUUUCUCGUGAGCAAAGAAAGAGAUUUGAUCACGAGUUUGAGGCGGUCAAUGAAAUGCUUUAGUAAAGGAAAGAUCCGCCUUUUAGCAGUCUCACUUGAAUUCUCCCUCUCUCCGGUGGUGAUCUCACUUCAGUAGUGGGAUGAAUCUGAAGGGUGGUCCACGAUCAGAAGAGAACGGCUGCUUUGACUCCGGCGGCUUGAGAUAGAUCAGUUUCAAAACUACAGGUUAAGUAUGCCCUUCUCAAUAUAGAUUCUAUAGAAGAGUCUAAUUGCGAAUCCUUUUCAAUAUAGGAAAACAGCACGCUCGUCCCCUCAAGAGAUGCCCGCCCAAACUGAACUACUUACUUCACUUGCGAAUAAUAUACUACUGAACACCAAUCCACGAUUGCUAAAGAUCGCUAAAGAGAAAAUGUUAACUUGAUUUGUAUUAUUUCUUUUACGCUUUCAUCAGCUUAGGUCCCCUCCUUUGUGGUCAAGCAGGAUAAGAAACUCAAUAAGACUCUGAAUUUGAGCUGUCCUCGGAUGUACACCUGCUUGUGGCACCUCGGAAUUACAGACUUACUACGGUAAGAGACCUGGACCCAGCGCGUUCGUUGGAGUCGUGGAAGCGAAGCAAGGCUCGUUAUAGAGGAAAUAUGGAAUCUUCUAGAAAAAAGUGGAACCCAUGCGCCUUUCCCCCUAAGCCUAGAAGCAAGCCAAGCUAACAGAGGGAGGCAAAGCCGGAGUGCAGUAGGUUCCGUGUAGGCAGGGUAGCGCCCCGUAGAGCUUCUGUCGAUUGGAAACAAUUCAUUCCACCCUGGUCAAAUGGCUUCAAACGCUGAUUUCCAGAAUGGACUGUCUGGCAAACAAACAGGUAGGCUAGGAAGUCAGGGCUAGCUUAAGAGGAGAAGGCGAAUCUGAAAGUCCGUUACGAUUGGGCAUAUCUGUUCUCUUCAAAUAAGGGGCACUAAUACGGUUCACUACCAGUGGAGGAGAGGCAAGGCAGGAAGCGUUAGCUCCCUAUCCAUAAGCCAGCCAUUCCAGACCAUCGGGAGCAGCCAACCACUGGAGUUCCCGAACUCGCUCAGGUAGUUGAAGGAACUACAUUCAACCCAUGGCCCACCGAGACAGUACCGCUAACAGCACACCAAGCCAAUCUCGAUGUAUUUAGCAUUACACAAGCAAAGCCGCUUCAAGUACUUACUGUACUAGCAAUUAGCUUAUUCGUAGUGUACUUUAAAAGUGUAACUGAAUAUGAUCCUAGAAAACAUACUGAAUUCAAUCAACAAUAUCUCCCCUGCCAUUCUUCGUUGCUUCACUCUCCUCCUGCUCCCUCUUCUGUCGUACAUGUGCUCACCAUAAGCCUCAAGAUCCGCUUUAAACCCGAUGACAGAAAAAGUGGCUCCGGGGGAAGAUCAAAAGUAUCCACUCCCUUCGCUCGAGGAUCUCUAUGAAUCUGACUCUCAUUUUUUUUUUUUCCGAUGAGGAAGACAAUGAAGAAGGAUGGACCGCGUGUACCAAGCGCAAGGCGAGCUAAAAGAAGAAGAUACAGCCUUCCCACGUGUCUAAAUUGAGCAUUAAGUUGGUGCCUCCUCAAAAGAAGUCUACUAAAAAGAAAAAUAAAGAAAGAAAGUCGAAGGGUUUGGUUUCUCAACAGCCUAUGCCUUUCAUUACUCUCGAAGAGCUCAUCAAACAGCUAACGGAUGAGUACGUUCAGAAGCAACGCACACCUGUAAUGCUAGACGAGUUUAUGUCAGAAGGAUGGCGCACCAGAAUCCCUCGUAAUGAUGAUGAUGACGAGGAUCACAGUCCGAUUAUCAUUGAGUUUUGGGGGAGAAUUGAUGCAGUCACAGACUCAGAUUAUGAUAAGGAAACCCCCUAUUCUUCCCAAAAGAAAAAGAACCUUCGCUUCUCUCUUUAAUCAAAAUACGUGUAGCCUUUGCUUUCUCUUGUUCUUAUCAGUACAGUCAACAAUAAAUAAUCAGCUAUUUCAAGAACCUUAUCAGGGUGGGGUGAGCCCCUAGCCCGCCUGAAGAUACUCAUCCGUGAGGAUAGGGUGUAGCCUCGGGGAGGAAUUAGAUCCGCUAGAAGGGCUUCGUAGGGAAGAGAACUGAUCUUCGUCCAGGAUGUCACCCUUGGACGAAAAAAAGAGAAGUUCUCUCAACUACGUCGAACCCUUUUGUUAUUUUUCGACCGUUACAAAAUGGGUUAUUGGUCGGAUAGAUCUCAACCACUCUUCUAGACUAAUAUUUCUAGGCAUAGCAAGCUUUUCUAUCUAUAGAGAUAGUCGCAUGUAAUGACAGAUCACAGCUAUAUGAAAGUAAGUAGUAAACUACCAUAAUCGCGAGUCGUUUUUCUUUCUUACGUAGAAAGUACUUUACUUUAUUUCUAAGAAAGGAUUUCUCCAGCCUAUUCUACGUUCAAAAAUUUUAAAUUGUGGUAAAUCUUGCUUUCUUCUGGCUACUAGUGGGAAUUUUCUCUCAACUACGUCGACCCUCCUUUUUUAUUUGUCUUACCCAUUCAGGAACUGCCGCGUGAGCAGGUUCUUGUAUCAUAGCUUGAGUUAUUCCCGAAGGGCCUUCUAACCUGCGGCUUUCCUGAGGUUUAAAACAGGGCUGUCAAUUAACUUUUUGCUUAUUGCUCCCGAAUAGAAUAUUCCAUAUUACCUCUUUCUUCUUUGUUUUUUGUUGGUUUUGCGAAAUCAGUGCCCGCUUUUAACGUUAACGGGAAAGGGAAAGGCUUGACAAAUUUUUUCUUUUACUUAAGGUGUAAUACUCACUUGUAAAUGAUUGGUGUCAGAAUUUUUCACUGAUCAGGUGUGAUCAGUCUCAUCCGUGUAAGAAUUAGGAAUUCCUCUUCCAACUCGUCCCGGAAUAGGCGUUAUGGCAAAGAACAAGAAGAAAACAAAAGGAGAAAUUUGUCCAAUAGUAACAAAAGGUGCCUCCACAGGUUGACAUCCGAUCCAACCUAGUAAUAAGCAAUCCGCCAAAAGCAACCAAAAUAUUCCUUGGUGAAUCGGGCGAAAACUUGAACUACGCACAUACAUACUUUUAAAAAAAGGUAAAGCCAACAGACAUAUAAAAACUGGUGCUAUUGCGGCUACACCUCCCGAUUUGUCAGGUAUACUACGAAGAAUGGCAUGGAUCGGUAGGAAAUACCAUUCCGGCACAAUAUGAGGCGGGGUGGGCAUCGGAUUAGCAGGUAUAUAAUUGUCGGGAUGCCCCAAAACAUUAGGAGCAUAAAAAAUCCAAAUGGAAAAAAAGAUAGCAAAAGCUACCCAACCUACUAGAUCCUUUACAUAAAAAUAAGGGUAAAAAGAAAUUUUAUCCAUCUCUGAAUGUACACCCAAUGGAUUAUUUGAUCCAUAUUGAUGCAAUGCGGCCAGAUGAAGAAGACUGGCGCCUACUAAAAUAAAGGGGAGUAAAUGAUGAAGACUAAAAAAACGAUUUAAGGUGGCAUUGUCCACGGAGAAACCACCCCAAAGCCAAGUCACUAUGGUAUCUCCUACUACAGGUAUGGCGCUAGCUAAGCUUGUAAUUACUGUAGCUCCCCAAAAGCUCAUCUGACCCCAAGGGAGUACGUAUCCUGUAAAAGCUGUCACAAUCAUUAAUAGGAAGAUGACAACUCCGAGACACCAAACAAAUUCCCUAGGACUGCUAUAACUCGCAUGAUAUAGACCACGAAAAAUAUGAAGGUGAACCACAAUGAGAAACAUACUUGCCCCAUUAGCAUGCAUAUAACGGAGCAACCAGCCCCCUUCCACAUCUCUCAUAACGUGUUCUACGCUGUUGAAAGCUAGAUCCACAUGAGGUGUGUAAUGCAUAGCUAAAAAAACGCCAGUCACUAUCUGAAUGACUAAACAAACCCCAGCUAACGGACCGAACCCCCACCAAUAACUAAGAUUGCUCGGGGUUGGAUAAUCUAUCAAAUGCUGAUUAAGUGUGGAGGAUAUAGGUUGUUUAAGAAGAGAGAAUCGUUGGUUCCUUAUAGUCAUUUCUCUUUCCUAUCGUGACAACUCUUGUUCCCCCACCCUUUUAGCGUUCUGGGCCCUACUUACUCAAAAUUAGAUAUUACAUAUAUAAUAUCUAGUAACCUUUCUUUUACUUUCGAAGGAUGGAGUGGGUAUGCAGCGAAAGAAGCGCCGAGGGGGUCAUCCUGGGUUACUGAAGAGUCGUCCGACCGCUCGGUGACCGAAUCAGAGAGGGUUUUACCGCUUUCUCUUCUCUCCAGCACUCUCGGACGGAUCAUCUUGCUGCAACAAAGCAAGCUUAAGAAUAGAAGAAAUCUAAUGGGAAUUUAGGUCUCUGUCCGCUUGGAAGAUUCUUCUUUCCUCUUCAGUGAAAGAGGGCAAGGGUGUGUGGGAGAAAGAAUUCUAAAAGGGGAGAAGAUCUCGUCCACCAAGUGGAACAGAGUGCGACCCCUAAGCAAUUGGGGUGGGGUCCAUAUCAUCUUAAAACUUUACUAUUCCACUUUAGCUAAGCUAAUGUGGAAUAGGAUGACUCAGCGCGUCAGGAAAAGCCCCUUAUUGCCUUGAUUGAAUUUGGCUUCGCUGCGCCCUGAAUCAAUCAAAAAGCUUAUUGAUUUGAUUCAUCCCAUUUCAUUUGGGCGAGAGGGAGGCUGUGAGUCACCUGGGCUACGAAUUUGUCGGUUGGUUGAUUCUCGAAAUCACCUCUUGAGAAAAGAAAAAAAAAAGGCCCUCGGGUCCCGACCCACAAAUGAGUAGGAAGCGGGGCGAGGGUCUUUCAUUAAAGGGGAGAAAAGAAAAGAGGGGUGUUCUGUUCUGGGGGGGCCGCCUUUCGCAGCUUUAGAAAGGAGAGAAUUUAAGAAAUCUCUCCAACCCCUUAGAAGUAGGGCGAGAGAAAGUUGAUAUUCGCGUUGGUUUUUCCAACGAAACUAAGUUGUCUUUAUCAUUCGAAGAGCUCAACACACUCUGAUUUCUUUCGUUUCCGAGAAAACUUCGUUCGAAUUUCAUGUGUUAAGCAUAUAAUCUUCCUUCUCAUGGCCAUCCCUUUCUUUUCUACCUUCUCUUACUCUUAUUCAAUUUUUAGAAAAAGGUCCUGCAGGAAUGAUCUAUUCUAUUAUACGAUGAUAGCACCUAUGAUAGAAGCAGGUCAACCUAAAAAAGGUGUAUGGUAUGCUUUUCUUCUUGAGCAGAAUAGAUGGCUAGUCCUGACAGUGGUUUUGCCUGCCAAAACCAAGCUAAAUAAAGUCCAAGGGUUCCAUGAUUGGAUAGGAAACGACCGAAGGAAGACUCGUCAUAAGAAUAUGAGCCCGGAUAAUACCCGGAAAGCAACUCCCAUCAGUGCCUUCUUAUUCUUAAGGGUGUUAGUCGGCUACCAUUGGCUUUAGUCCUGUAAGAAUGACUCGCCACUAACAGGAUCCUCUUUUUAUCUUAAUCGUCUUGAACAACCCGAUAAACUAAUAAAGGCCUAUCUGGCUUGAAGUGCUCAAGGAGACAUCACGCGUUCACUUAUUAUUCUACGAUAAACGAUUGAGGCUCUUAAAGCCCUUUUUGGAUAACCCUGAUGUCCUCUAAAAAAAAAUAAGUUGAUCCAAACAGAGAAGCGAUAAAAGCCUUUUUAGGAUCCAGUCAUGCCCUUCAAAAGUGCUAUCGAAGUCUUCCUAGCAAGGGUGUCAAGAACUGGUACAAUAGACCAAUCUUUCUGUGGAGUCAUGUCUAUCUGCUUGUAUCGAUGGAUAGCUUAUCGGAGACCGGUUUAGUAUUAGUAAAAGCACUAUUGGGCGUGACUUUAUCGUUCCAUAGCGCACUUCGAAGAAAGAUAAGAAUCCACUAUAGCUUGAUUUGAGAUAAUGAACCUGAGUUCACUGAACACUAAUGGAAUCUCGACUAUUAACAUCUACAAGCUACGAGUUCUGGCAUACUUGACUUUCCUUUAGAAAGGAUGUCCUACUUCUAUUUUCUAUUUCACCGAACCCUACUUUACUCAAUCAAUCUCCUAAUCUGAAUCCUACCUCCCUUACUACAACUAAAGCACCAACAGCGGGAGAGCCGACAUUACUAUAGAUGUGCAGCGCUAAGGCUAACAACUCAUUCUCUAACAGGAAAAGCAAAGUCCUCAUCUACCGCAUCAACAGGGAAUCCCGCAUCUGAUAAGGCAAGUCUACUUCCCGGAGCAAAGCAACAAAACUACGCUAUUCAAAGCAAUCUGCCCAAGGAGGGCUAAGCUAGUCUAGUCUAAUGCUAGGCUAGGUGAUUCCUCUCUUCUCUAUCAAUGACUGAAGCUUAAUCCAGAGAGAGAGCUCACUAUACCACCAGGUUGCCGCAUUUGCUUAUGAAACAAGAACAGCUUAUCCCGAGGAGAACAGAGCAUAAGUCGGAGAUCUUAGGGUAGUCACUCAAAAAGGAAUUUCAUCCGUCACUUCGCCCCCCCUUUUAAGACUGAUUCCUUCUAGGCGAGAAGGUUAGAAUAAAAGCAGCGCUUACGCUUAUUCCGACAACAGAUUCAUCGGUCCCUGGAUGCGUUCUAACAGAAUAAAGUCCGAAAGUCAUCAGGUACGGUUUCCUAAGCUACCUCACCGCACUAAGUCCAGUCUAUGGACCUUAGCCCAAGGAUAGAGACGGGGCUAAUGCUUCGGUCAUACUAGAUUACGAGGCUUACCGAACUACCUUUGCCGUAACUCAGAGAGAGAAGGCCGCUCAAGCAGAAUCCGAAUACGACUUUCGCUAAACAAGAGCUCUUUAUCUUUACUGCUAAGCUGAUCACAACUUCACAUUCAACAACAGCAAGAAGACGACUCUAGCCCGCUCCGCUGAAAGCUUUAAACAUUUGCUUUUCUCGAGUUCCUCGCCCAAAGGUUCUAGGGUUCGAGAGAGAAUUCCUACUCUAAGGAAGGGAAGAAGGUAAUCAAAUCAGUAGAAUGCUGCUUUCCGUACUAUCGCUUGUUCACAUUCAAGCAUGAGUUAGUUCAGAGUCGGGAAGGGGAAUCAGAGAAAGGGCAGUUUAGUCAACAAUCAUGACCAUGGGAACAUUUGUUCGCUUUCUAGGUACCCCCGAAUCUACUAGUCAUCGCCUUUGAGCUGGGAAAAGCAUUUACCUGGAGUCGGCUAUUCCUGAUUCAGCAAAGGAAAGAAGCCUUGAUCCCAAGACUAGCUGCGGAUUGGAUUCUUCCUUUCCUUUUAUCCGGACUAACUCUAAUCGUGAUUUUGACUCAAUUAUUCCCUCUGUCGCAAUAGAAAUCGAGAAUGGAGGUUACUUCACUACCUUUCUUGGUGAAGAAUAUUUCUUUCCUUGCCUCCGGAGAGUAGCCUUAGUAUUAAUCUCCCUUUAGUGAGGGGGGUGAUAUAAUUAUAAUAAUAAUAAGUUGUGAAAGAAUCGGUUUAGAACGUAUCCUCAGUUUUAGCCAUAUCCGUUGCUAGAGUAAGCGCUUGUCCUUUCUUUUUGUGGAAAAGGUUUUUGGUAUAUAUUUCACACAUCGAGCUUGCUGGCAGAAGUAAAGCACUAUCCACACCCGCUGACUUUUGGUGAGAAAUCAACCAUUUCCCCGGUUGCCUUAGACCCUCAUAAGUCAACUCCUCUUGCAAAGCAAGGUAUCGGUGACUGCUUUCACUCUCAUUCCAUGGGACCGCCUUCAACACAUAAGCCAACCCACCUCUGCCAUAGCUGCAUUCAACCAUAUAAGAAAGAUGUUCUGUUCGGCUGGAGAAGACGUCUACCUCAACUACAAGGGGCACAGCCUCCUCCCCCAAUCAAAUAAGACUUUUCCGCCCGACAACGAAUCUAAAGAUUCUCCUCCCGAAAUAGCUUCUGCUGAAGAAAAUUCCAUCCAGAUGGUUGCAUUUAAGCCAGCAGGAAGUGCAUAGCUGUAGGCACUUUCCUAAAAUCUAGGAUCUAUUGAGAACUACGAAGAAGUGAUUUAAAGAUUUUCUUGGAAUGGAAGAUCCGCUUGAAGUUCAUCGUUUGUUCAUCCAUCCGCUCCACCUCGACCUCGAGCAAUAGAGAACUGGAAGGCUGCGCCCCUCUAUCGGCAACUAACUAGAACCCUCUAUUACCGAGCAAGUAGAGGUGCCAGGCUUACUGCCUUUUAUUUAGUGGAAAGCAGAAGAGGGAAAGAGAGUAAAAAACCUAUCUUUUCUUUACCAAAGUGGGGAACGGAAAAAGGUUAUAGGUAGGCUUUGGGAAAAGUAGGUGUAAAUAAGGUUCCUUCCAUGCUUGGAAGAGUAUGACGUGUGAAUGAGGAAGUAAACACGGCUAUAUCACUUAUUGAAAUUCAGGUGGGUAGCGGGCGAUCCCUUCUUUUUUAGAAAAUGUUAGGUACAAAUAGAAGGGUUCUUUAAGCCCCUACUAAUCAAAGAACCCUCCUUAUUCCCGACAUGCUAUGGUGCCCCACGAUCUGCUCUUUCCUUGAUCAGUACCUCUCUCAUACAAAUGGGUCGACCGAGAAAUCUACAAAAGAAUCACCUUGAUACUAAACCGGAUCGAGUCUCGAACGAGGAGCUGCUCCUACCUAAGUUCCCAGCUAUCUGAGUAGGUUUGUUAUCAAUUUCCGAAGUGAAUUGCAUUCAUCCUCCUCUCCCCCCGUCGAUCUUUCCGCUAGUCAGUAGCUCACUUGAGGAAGCGAAUGCGAAAGAAGAAAGAAAGGGUUUCAAUCAAGUUAUAGCGUAUAUAGAAUGCAACCCUUAUGGACUGAAUCUUUAUUACACCCUUGACGAGGAAACAAGAGUCAUUUACUACAUGCUUAUUGAUACAGGGAUGGAGCGUAUAGUGCUUAUAGAGAAUUUUGAAAACGGUGAAAGCGAGGAAAGAAAGAGGCGAAUCCACAAGAGUCUGAGAAGCCUCGAAAAUAAAGAAAAUAAGUCUUCGUGACGCGUCGGGUUCAACGACUUUGAGGGUUACCAAUAAGCCGCCCGGGCAUUAACAACGUUCAUCAAAGGGAGUGGAGCUACGUUUUUCAUCAUUGGAGACGGAUCCCGGGUUCAGCCUUUCACCGCAAGCUCGUGUUUGGGCCGUAGUGCUUGCAUAGCUACUUCAUCGGAUGGGAUCGCCCUUAUGAUUGAUGCCCCUUCACCUCCCCCGCCACUGCGGAUUCCCCUUUAGUUGCAUCAGCACUAGUCUCCCGAGGAGAGAGAGCUAACCCUUAGCUAAUUGGAACCCCUACGGGAGGUCCCUACUCCCCUAGAAGACAAGUACAACCACUAGGGAACGCCCACCCCAAACACUCCUUACGAGGGAAAGAGCUCGGAUCCAAGAAGCCAACUAUAGGAGUGAUCCUAUCAUUGGUAAGCCUAUCCAUUAGAAGUAGACCAAUUAUCUGACAUGUUGAUGACCCACGAAAGCCCUGUACUGGGAAAGCGGUAAGCUAAUCACUAGAUUGAUCUGUUACCUAAGGGGUAAGCCACUUCCAUAAAGGAGCGAGUAAACUCCAGCCCCUUUUAUGAAACCAACCGAAAGCAGAUCAAAUAAAGACUUGAGGAACGAAACGAGAUAGCGUAGUGAAAGUGCAGAUGUAGCGCACAGGCGAGUCGAGGUAGCGGAAUGAGGAAGAGCCAGAUAAGCCAAUCACAAGGAUAGAGCCCCAGUGACUCGAGUAAGAGACCAAAGGAAAGGUCUCAAUCCACAACUAUACAAGGGGCAAGUUCAGCAUUUACAGUUUUCUUUCUUGCCCUUUCUUCAAAGCAGGAAAUAUGCGCUAAAGGUAGAUAUUAGAUAUUCGUUUCGGGGUAAUAUAAUCUAUUCUAUUUCUUUCUUAGGUGACCAACCACUCCUGCCCUUGUUGCUUCUUCUCUUCUCUUGCUCACGGAUGGCUUCUCAACUUCGUCGAGCCUUGCCUUUCCUUUUCGAGACUUUAGGCCCUUGGCCUGGUCGGUCGAUCUAUGAAUGGAAGCAGGUGCAGUAGGUUUUAUAACAAAUGAAAUGUAGCCGGUCCCUUUAAGGAAGGGUAUUUGCACUCUUGCCUAUCUUCCUGGAACAAAAUUCCUCUUAUCCGCUAUCCCCUUUGGGAGAAAAGAGCUCGCUAGCAACUCUGAUCAUAGGCUCACACGACUUACUCUAUAUUACAUCAAGUAAGACUCUGUUCUUCCCAGUGCCCGGUUCCGAUGAAAUGAUUGAAAGCUAGGAAGUAUAGGAGUAUGGGAAAAUGAUUCCGAUGAUCGUUCAGCUCGUCCUUUGCUUCAUAAUUACCUUCUUCUUUACUCAGAGAGGAGCUUGGAUGCUUCAUAAGAGCUCGCUCAAUCCUUUUAGGAAUAGGAAGAAGAUUUUCCAUAAAAAGAAGAAAAUUGAGAAUGUUGACAUGAUCGCUCUACUCCCCCCUUGGUGCUUCGUCCAAACUAUAACUAUAGUUUUGUCUUCUUUUGUUAGUAGCUCCCGCAGGAGUGGACUUCCGCUUUAUCGAAUGCUUGCGCUUUAAAAACUUCCUAUUUCCCCUCUUCCGAAGAUGACACUGUCACAUCCCGAUUACUCAACCACAGCGGAUGCUACAUGGGCAGCUUAGCUAAGUACCGAACCCCGGGGUGCAAGAUCUCUAUAUUGAUAAAGCGCAGAGCUUAAACUAAAAAAAAUAGUUCAUCCAAGACCAUUUCCUAUAGGAGAGAACGGACCAGAAAGAAAUGAGGGACCCUUCUUUUUUACCUGGAGGGCUUUGAUGCCCAAUUCGCCUUCGAGAAGAAAGCACGGCCCGAGGAAAUGUUCAGGAACGCUAUGUUAAUAGGGUCUUUAAGACCUCACCCAGCAUCUAUUAAUUCAAUCAACAUACGUUUCAAAACAAAAAGAAUUUGGAAGCCAUAUAGCCAUUUCAGCCUUACUCCCUAUUCUCUCUUAAAUAAAGCUAUGAUAAAACUGGAGUAAUGUGGUUUCAGCUUCCUGUGAGCUGUAGAGUUAGUUAUCCCUUAUCAUCCUGGUAUUCCUCCUCUCUAUGAGAUGUGGGAUCGAGCCCUUCCUUUUUCUACAUCCUUUUGUAUGAUAAGGGCUUCGCUCCAUGUUUUAUCAAGCCUUUGCUCCACUAUCAACCACCGGAAUGGUUCUUUUGCCUGCCCCCGCUUUCCUCUCCCGCGGGAAGAGCUCGUUCGCCAAGUCCGAACUCUUAUGUCGAUGACGGCUCUCUUCGAUGCUAGCAACCGCGUUUGGCCCUUUUCCGCGCUUCUUUCAAUUUCCUUACAUUCUAGCUGAAGGUUUUGUUUAGCCUUUACUUAGAGAGGGGCAGAGCGGUACCACGUCCUUCCGUGCUCGUAGGUUGACUCCCCUAUGCAUCCCGACUAAGGUCUCACAAACGCGCACUUCCCUUAUGCAUCCAGCCGCUUCACUAAUGUGAAUAGGUUAUACAGAAGGGUGGGUUGGUUAUAUACUCUUAUGCGCGCUCCUUCUUCGAACCUUUUGGUAUGUAUUGCCCCUAACUAUAGAUCAGAUCCACCAGACGAGAAACUCAAUUCCGCACUGCUGCUGAGUCGUCGGACUUAUCCACCAAGGGAUUCGUGGAAUUUCUGUGGAUUGCGUUGGGGGAAAUCUACCAAAGCUAGGCAGAUGGAUAGACUCCUUUCCCGCUGCUAAGGGGGAGCAAGAAAAAAAAGAAAAUGAUUGUUUUUUAAUCAGCGCUUGGGUAUGCAGAUACUAAGAGUCUUCUCACUACCAACCAGCGGACAUCAUCUGGCUGGGUCUUGCCGAUAUCAACAACGAGAAAAAAACAACCAAAUGGAAACAGCAACUAACUAUGGCUCUUGGCCUAGACAACGCCCUAGGCGUAGGGGAGAUCGGAGCAACAGGGAACGCCUAGACGACGUUUUUCUUCCUGGGCUGCAGUAAGUAGAUCGAGAGGUCGUUCCGCCCCUUGUCCCCGAAGAUGGGUAAUAUGUUCUCAAAAAAUCUUGCUCCAAUCUGACCUAGCUGGCGAGCGAUCCCAGUUCGCGGCAGAGAACAAGACAGCAAGCGAGCGUACCUUUGGUCGCUUCUUCUCCACCAAGCACGGAAGUUUAAGGAUAACUGUAGGUCGGUGGCUACCUAAGGAAACUCCGAUUCGAUCCGCCCCCGGCUGGGAGGCAUUUACCUCAUCCCGAUCACAAGGAGAGGUUCACCAUGAUGUGGGGUACUUAUUUGAUUUUCCCUUCCGGAAAGAAUGAAAUGCGUAGGGGACCAUCCUUUUGUUGCGGCAUGCUCCUCAGAUUUACGGAUUCGCAGGGGGCCUCAGGCCCUACUUAGUUGACUGACAAUGACAAAGGCUUGCGAAACUAAGUAGGGCCUUUUGAAUUGAAUCUUAAGUAGUCUAUCAGUGGUGCGAAGCGGCUUUGCCCCUUUUCAGUAGGGGAGCGAAAGGUUAGACUUAGACCUUAGAAAGUCAGCGAACAGCGGUUCUUCUAUGUAGGUAUGGUGUUCCCCUUGACU